AAGUUGUGGCACGUUAUCGGCGUGACGUCCAUCUAGGAAAACCGAAAGCUUCGUGAGGAUAAAGCGUUGUCGGUUGUCCGGUGUCGACGCCCAGUUGCACAUCUGGCAGUAUUAAAAAUGCAAACAAUAAAAUGUGUUGUAGUAGGGGAUGGCGCAGUUGGUAAAACUUGCUUAUUAAUUUCAUAUACUACAAACAAAUUUCCAUCCGAAUAUGUUCCAACAGUGUUUGAUAAUUAUGCAGUCACCGUCAUGAUUGGCGGUGAACCAUACACAUUAGGAUUAUUUGAUACUGCAGGUCAAGAAGAUUAUGAUCGUUUGCGUCCAUUAAGUUAUCCGCAAACUGAUGUAUUUCUUGUAUGCUUCUCAGUUGUAUCGCCAUCAUCGUUUGAAAAUGUUAAAGAAAAGUGGGUACCGGAAAUAACGCAUCAUUGUCAGAAAACGCCAUUUUUAUUGGUCGGCACGCAAAUUGACUUACGAGAUGAUGCAGCGACAAUCGAAAAACUUGCAAAGAAUAAGCAAAAGGCAAUCUCGGGAGAACAAGGGGAGAAACUUGCUAAGGAAUUAAAAGCCGUAAAAUAUGUUGAAUGUAGUGCUCUUACACAGAAAGGACUGAAAAAUGUCUUUGACGAAGCAAUAUUAGCUGCUCUAGAGCCUCCAGAACCUGUUAGGAGAAGAAGGUGUACCAUUUUGUAGGAGGUGUAUGGUCUUUUUUAUAAAACUGUUAGUCCUACAGUGAUGAAGACUGGCGAAUUGCGCAAUCGGGCAGGAAAUGUUUCACAGUCAUAUAAAAGUAUUCCACUACUCCAGGAAGCGAAAACUCGUUACGACAUCAUUACCGCAAAAAAAAAAAAAAAAAGAAAAAAAAGAGAGAAAACUGCAAAGUUCUCAACUAUUUAAUAUGUAAGAUGUUUUUAACAAUAAAUUGGUAGUGUGAA